CCUACGGGAGGCAGCAGUGAGGAAUAUUGGUCAAUGGUCGGGAGACUGAACCAGCCAAGCCGCGUGAGGGAUGAAGGUACAGAGUAUCGUAAACCUCUUUUGUCAGGGAACAAAGGCGGGGACGUGUCCCCGGAUGAGUGUACCUGAAGAAAAAGCAUCGGCUAACUCCGUGCCAGCAGCCGCGGUAAUACGGAGGAUGCGAGCGUUAUCCGGAUUGAUUGGGUUUAAAGGGUGCGCAGGCGGCCUGUUAAGUCAGCGGUCAAAGCCCGGGGCUCAACCCCGGCCAGCCGUUGAAACUGGCAGUCUCGAGUGGGAGAGAAGUAUGCGGAAUGCGCGGUGUAGCGGUGAAAUGCAUAGAUAUCGCGCAGAACUCCGAUUGCGAAGGCAGCAUGCCGGCUCCACACUGACGCUGAGGCACGAAAGCGUGGGUAUCGAACAGGAUUAGAUACCCUGGUAGUC
rnacentral:rRNA from 1 species